UCCAGACUCCUACGGGAGGCAGCAGUCGGGAAUAUUGCACAAUGGGGGGAACCCUGAUGCAGCGACGCCGCGUGAGGGAAGAAGGUUUUCGGAUUGUAAAGCUCUAUCAGCAGGGAAGAAAGAAAUGACGGUACCUGACUAAGAAGCCCCGGCUAACUACGUGCCAGCAGCCGCGGUAAUACGUAGGGGGCAAGCGUUAUCCGGAUUUACUGGGUGUAAAGGGAGCGUAGACGGCGAUGCAAGUCUGAAGUGAAAGGCGGGGGCCCAACCCCCGGACUGCUUUGGAAACUGUAUGGCUGGAGUGCAGGAGAGGUAAGUGGAAUUCCUAGUGUAGCGGUGAAAUGCGUAGAUAUUAGGAGGAACACCAGUGGCGAAGGCGGCUUACUGGACUGUAACUGACGUUGAGGCUCGAAAGCGUGGGGAGCAAACAGGAUUAGAUACCCCCGUA
rnacentral:rRNA from 1 species